rnacentral:rRNA from 1 species
AGAAUCAACGCUGGCGGCGUGCCUAACACAUGCAAGUCGAACGAGAAAGGGGUAGCAAUACCCUGAGUAAAGUGGCGCACGGGUGAGUAACACGUGACUAACCUACCCUUGAGUGGGGGAUAACUGAGGGAAACCUUAGCUAAUACCGCAUAAUACCCACGGGUCAAAGGAGCAAUUCGCUCGAGGAGGGGGUCGCGGCCGAUUAGUUAGUUGGCGGGGUAAUGGCCCACCAAGACGAUGAUCGGUAUCCGGCCUGAGAGGGCGCACGGACACACUGGAACUGAAACACGGUCCAGACUCCUACGGGAGGCAGCAGUGGGGAAUUUUGCGCAAUGGGGGAAACCCUGACGCAGCAACGCCGCGUGGAGGAUGAAGUCCUUCGGGACGGUAAACUCCUUUCGAUCGGGACGAUUAUGACGGUACCGGAAGAAGAAGCCCGGCUAACUUCGCGCCAGCAGCCGC